CUUGGAGCGAAGAUGCUCUGUACAAUUUGCAAUGAUGGUGACUUUGAACAAUCAAUGGAUUUUAGGCUUUAGAUCUAUUGAAGAUCUGCAUCAGAAAUUACUACCUCCAGAUUAUGAAUACAAGCAAGGAGGAUACCGCGGUGACGUCAUAUCACUUCGCAUCGUACCGCAUCACCUUACAAAGCUAUAAUGCAGACCGCUGUGUUUCUAGUUGGUUUGCUCUUCUUGGGACUCGUCUUCGCUGAUGAGGGGGCUGUCGAUGAGAGCUUUGGAAAAAAAUCGAGGAUGCAUACCUACUGGUUCAUUUUGUUUGGGCAAAACGCGAUGCUGUAGUGAUGUUGACUGCGGGUGGAGUCUCAGAUGCGAAAAAUCAAACCAGAAAUAGA